rnacentral:rRNA from 1 species
UUGGACCUGAUAUCAGGCAAGAUUACCCGCUGAACUUAAGCAUAUCAUAA